AUUGAACGCUGGCGGCAGGCCUAACACAUGCAAGUCGAACGAGCGGCGGACGGGUGAGUAAUGUAUGGGAAUCUGCCCGAUGGAGGGGGAUAACUACUGGAAACGGUAGCUAAUACCGCAUACUAUCGGAUGUACCCAUAUGGGAUUAGCUAGUAGGUGGGGUAAAGGCUCACCUAGGCGACGAUCCCUAGCUGGUCUGAGAGGAUGACCAGCCACACUGGGACUGAGACACGGUCCAGACUCCUACGGGAGGCAGCAGUGGGGAAUAUUGCACAAUGGGCGCAAGCCUGAUGCAGCCAUGCCGCGUGUAUGAAGAAGGCCUUAGGGUUGUAAAGUACUUUCAGCGGGGAGGCGUUACCCGCAGAAGAAGCACCGGCUAACUCCGUGCCAGCAGCCGCGGUAAUUC
rnacentral:rRNA from 1 species